AUGAAUUGGCGUUCACGAAGGGACAGACUCUCCCUCUCUCAAUCUCUCAAUCCCGUUCCCAAUCUCACAAUGCUCUCUCAAUCUCUCCAUCAUUGCUUGCUCUCUCAACCUUCCUCAAUCACUCCGUCUCACAAUCACUCUCAACCUUACUCACAAAAUCGUUCUCUCCAACUCAUGUCUCUCACAUCAAACCCUCUCUACAACGUGCGUUUUCUUAAUCGCUUCGAAUCAUAAAAGAAUCAUGGCACUGAAGCAAUAAAAAACGCUCAAUCAAUGUGCUGGCGGACCCGGGUAAAGACGGCAAUGAUGAAGCUUCUAAACUCUUUCAACUCUUCAAACCAGGUUUAUCUUUGAUUCUCGGUUUAGGGUUUUUUCUGUUUGGUUUCUUUUUAAUGCCGCCUCCGUUUUUUUUCGAAUUGUAGCCCCCCUUCUCCUCACUAAUCCCUUCACUAUAUACUCAUUAUCCCCCUCCUGACGACAUGGUGAGUGGAUUCUUUCACGGUCCCCGAAUAAGGCAUCUGAAGGCGAGAUCCGAUAGUGUGCAGUCAACAAGCAUUAUCUGGGCAGACCAUCCGGCCUUCUGGUGGGAGUCGGAUCAGAGGGAUUCCGCCCUGUCCGCGCUGCAGGCAAUAAGAAAAAAAGAUCCGAGAUUUUUGGGCUUGAGUGGGGGCGGACCCUGCGGGUUGAGGCCGCCAGCCCGACGUGCGCGAUGUGAACAGGUAACUGGGUUGCGUUGCCCUCUGUAUCUCUAUGCGAUAUUGCUGCUCAAUUCCAAAUUGGGAUACAAGAGACUUGUUGGAAUUUUACUGCUGUGGGCUUAAUUAGUUGUAUUUUUUAACUGCCAGUGAAAAUGCAUCUUGAAACAAUUGGAAUUUCGGUUUAUGUUAAGCAAUAUAAUCUACAUUUUGAGAGAUUUCCUUAACUCCUCAUUGUUGAGUUUCAGGCAAAUUUCUCACAUUGAUAGUCCUUAGCAAGCUCGCAGUGGGAAGGUCUGAUUAAAAUUGAUCUAGGUUAAGACUCUGUACAAGUGUCAGUGAAGGAGCAAGAGAAGCUUUCAAGUUUUCUGUUUUGAAUCAGGAUGAUUAAGAUCAAGGCUGAUUGGACUUAGAUUUGUCAUCUCAUAUAGCUAGGGUGCACAGUUACCGAAUGGCUAAUGGCUAGUACUGGAGAGGAGGUUAUUAACUGCUCAGAGUUGCAGCCGAUGGCAUAGUACCAGGUCCUAACUCUCUCCUGAUACUAUUGUAUAGGAAGCCAAAUUCAUGCAACAAACCUACAGUCAAAAAAGUAAGCCCUCUGUAAACUCUUUGUUCCUCAUCUAAGUCCGUUAUUUAGAGUCAAAUAUGUUGAAUACAGUUACGCAACUGAGUAUAACUAUCGCUCUAUGAGUUAGUCGAUACUCUCUUUCAAGAGAGAAAUGCGUCCGUGUACAAUCAGACGGAUGUGAAUUAAUUGUGAGUUGAGUUACAAGGCCAGUUUACCAGCGAUUUGACCGAUUAGAAUAUUAUAGAAACCCCGUAAAUGGCAACCGGGCAAAGCAUGGAUAGCAAAUCUCCAAAAUGUGCCACCUCCGGUAACCUCCCUGCGGAAUGAGGCCGAAAAGAGCAAUGAGGGUUACCGACAAAGACGGAUGAAUUGGUCGAGGUAAGUGCAUCUAUGUCCUCUUCUAGAAAUGAUAUCUUCGCUGUUGUAGCCACAAUUUGGAUUUUCUAAAUUAUCCUGAUCAGUUUUCUUUCAAUGACAAGGAUCCAAAACGCAGUAUGUGUGAUGAUGGCAUGAAAAAAUCGGGCAACAGAGCUUGGACCGUGCUGUUAACGCCCGCCUGUGGUUUUACCCAGCAUUGCAUAAUCUGUGUAGGAACUUGGUGAAGCGCCUUGGAUGAAUUGGAAUGGCUGCUUUGGAGAACCAAAACUGCAAGCCUGAUGUGAACCACAUGCAACAUCUUCCGUUUUGAUUUUCUUGGUUUUGGGUACUUGACUGGUCAGGCGAUUUGUGUGUGAAUAGUUUGCUGUUGUGCUUUGUUGUAUAUAAGCGCAUGUUUGGUGUUUCAACUUCUCGAGAUUAUGGACCAAGGGAGCGACAAAAUUAGCAACCAGCAGUUUAAACGUGGGGUAUAUUAUCUUUGUGCAGAAAUGACCCAAAGAGAGCCAUUAUGAUAAUACACAAACCAGACUCAUGUUUUAAUUUCAAUAUGGAAGUUAUUGCUACACACAUGUGAUAUACAUCUGCAGAGCACUUUCUGAAUGUCCACCCAACUCCAUAAUCUGAUGUACCUCGUCGCUCAGAGUACUUUACUCUCCAAUUGAGACGUAACGAAUUCCAGCACAAUCGUUCAUAUCAUAAUAUAUCUGCCAAUUACAAUAAUUGCUCACCAACCAAAUAGUAGAUUAAACUCACUUCUUGUUGUCAUUCUCUCUCAGAGACAAAGCAAUCCCCGAGCUCUCACUUAACUAAUCUCAUAACAGCUCUCAAUCUCUAACGGAACAUAACAUCAUCCUCGUGUCUCAACCCGAACCCCCUCACCAAGGAACACUUUGUUUGUCUUCUCAAAAGGAUCCCUCUAUACGCUAAGUCUCCUUAAGGAAUCAAACAAACAUCGUGGAAUAAUUUUAUGACCAAGUUGUUCUACCACAAACAUAUUUUACUAAAUGAUAAACAAACACUUAAAGAAAAUUGUGUACAAAAAUUGAUAGCUUUUCAUAAAGAAAUAACUUGGCAAAUAUGUAGCGCUUUCUUUCUUUUUUCUUCAAGUCUCAAGUCCACUUAAUAGAAUAAGGAAAGAGAUCGUUGGAGAAAAUGGGGAAACCACAAUAGAGCGGUUUCCACUUUGGUUAGGUCGAAGCAGUUGUGAUACUACGUCCCCGUCCUUCACCCACAACCUUCAGUGACAUGUGGUGAGGUAUAUAAUUCGUGCCCAAGAUAUCAGGGUAGGUGAAAGGAAUAUGUUUGUACUCAUAAGAUUGAGCAGUAUCAUGUUGAUCAACUUUCAAGUUCAUCUUACUAAUUGAUAAGCGGAGCAAUGCAUGUGUGAAAUGGAAGAAACAUACAACGAGGCAAAAAACUCCAGAGCCUCAAUCAGAAACCUGACACAAGUGAGCAGCCGAAUAACAAUUUAACACCUCUAUUAUAGCUUCUGCUGGUGAGGAGAACCAAACGACAUUAAUAGCAGCCGGACGGGCGAAACUCUCGAUCAUAAAUCCAAAGAGUCAAUCUACUUUGGUUUUCUGGUCCCACGAGAGCUUAGAGGUCGUUCAUGCCGCAUUCCGACAAGAUACAUGGUCAAGUCCACUCGGACGGAAAUAUCAGUCUGUGGAUGUUUUACCAGAGGAAAUAGAGUCGGCCCAUGCAACCAGAUGCAAGCUAUAUCCCCGUCCAUUGUUGACGCGUUGGUUGCAGGAACUCAGGCACAGAGGCGAUUUCUCGUCAUAGUAUGACCGAUCUCCGCCACAGAGCAGUACGUGUUCCCCAGGUGGUCUCAUCAAAGAGGAUUCACGGAUCGCACCAGUAAGAGGGGCAGUAAAUUUUAUUCAUUGCCUCCGGCACUCUCGAGUAUUGAUUAUACAUGUAGAAUUAUAGUCAAGAGCAUAUAUCUAGGCUCAUAGUAGUGUAUUACAGUCUUAAAACGCUGGAACGAUCCGUUAUUGACACCAAUACUAACUGCGGUUGGACAUUAAGACCUCAUAACCCAUGAUGCCACACUCACCUUUAUAUACAGCUAGAACACCCGAAGAACUGAUGUAUCCUUUGAUGCAGGAAACUUUAAAAACUGUUUUUAUUUGUUGAUUUGGUGAGCAGGACAGGUUCCUCAAUACCUUGCAGUUGCGAUCUUUAGCCAAAGAGCAAACUCAUAGCUUCUUCAAAAUUUCAGUUUCGAUUUGCAUUCUACAACGCGGAUAAAUAAAUCUGGCAGCCCACUUUCUGUGCUUACUUCUUGUAUUAUUGUUGCAUCUUGGAUUAUUGCUUUUUAGGGGGAAAUUCCUUGACCUUGUUGUUGGGCGAAGCCACCGAACUUCACAUUGCCAAGACAUCGUCUCUGAUAAGGCAAGCUGUUGAUAUUAUGAGGUUUUAGCUAAAAACUGCUGAAUUGGUGCUCUUGAAGUUUUGCUUGAAUAUUUAUUUUGACAUUUCGCUUCUUUGCAUCGAUUUGGAUAGAAGUGGUGUGGCUGCCAUCUUCAUGAACUCUUCAAGCAGGCCGAAGGUUUGCCGUUUUCACAAAAUCUGUUUGAAAUUCUACUUGUAAGUAAGAGUGGAGACCAGAUUGCAAACUCACGAGUCAACUGAUGCUUGAAACUAACAGCUCCGUCUGUAACUGGCAGCGCCCAGAUGUUGCUUCAAGACUUCGCCGCUUGCCUUUGUUUAUUUCUUAGAGGUUCGGCAAAAAGAAUAACAAGAAAGGAUAAUUUUCCAAAGCUCACUCCUUACCCAACCAUAAAAAGCUUUGAAGAGGUUCAUCAUGGGUCCUUUUGAACUGGGAAUUUCCAUGUAUUCAGCAGCUUUGUGAAGACGUCCAUGAACGUAGCAAUAUGCCAACAAAGUUUACUUGUGUGCCUAUGGAUCUUGCGAUAAGAAUUUUUUUUUAUCUGGAUGGUACUGAAUUAGAAGUCUCCUAUAUUUUUUCGUUAGUGUGCAGACUCUGCUGCUCGUCUCGAGGCUCGAAUCCAAGGGAAUACUAAUAUGAUUCCAAACCUCAGCCUCAGUAUUCUUAUUCUUUAUGUAAUAAUACCAGAAUAAUCAGAUAAUCCACCCAAUUAAGUAGUUAAUACGUUCAAGUUACUAUAUUUUGUAAACACUUGAAAUUCCUCUCCUAAAAUGAGUCCGAGUGGUGUGUGCAGAAAAGAUACGAGCCCCACCAGGACAGGGUACUUCCCAGAUUUUGAGCAAUUCAUGCCACUGGACAUUUGAAAUAUCCGUCUAUUUGAUUUCUUACAAGUAACGCUAACCACGGAGCAUUAUAACUUUUAGUUUAUGCUAAGGUACUCUGAUGAGGAAUAUAUGCAGGGGAUGCACAAGUCUAAUUGCUCGAGAAUAUAAUCAAUAGUGAGUGGGUAGGAGACAAAAGCCGUAGCACUAGGUCAAAAAUCUCUGACGACACGAAAAGAGAGAGCCAUGCCCGUAUAUGACUAACCUUCGAACCCAACAAUGAUGAAACCAACAGGGAUUCCAAGGAAUUGAAAUGACGAAGUUGGGAAAUCAAGGAGAAAGUGAUGAGAUCUUUUUUUUUACAUUUAUAUAAGUAUUCAAUAUGCCAUGUAUAUGGAUGUUAUAGGAAAUUAGAUACUGAAAGAAGGCAUGGACGAGUUAUAAUCGAGAGCGUUAAAGAGAAGACGAAUAUUAACGGCUUGCAAGCUCUUACAGCUUGAGCCUAAUAUUCGGGAUUAAGACUGGAUAUUCCCUCCAGGAUAAUCUUUUUCUUCACGUUUUAUUUAGAAAAUGAUUUGAAUACUGGAGUGUUAAAGAGAAGACGAAUAUUAACGGCUUGCAAACUCUUACAGCUUGAGCCUAAUAUUCGGGAUUACGACUGGACAUUCCAUCCAGGUAAUCUUUUUCUUCACGUUUUAUUUAGAAAAUGAUUUGAAUAUUAAAGAGAAGACGAAUAUUAACGGCUUGCAAGCUCUUACAGCUUGAGCCUAAUAUUCGGGAUUACGACUGGACAUUCCAUCCAGGUAAUCUUUUUCUUCACGUUUUAUUUAGAACAUGAUUUGAAUAUUAAAUUAAAACAAAGAAAGUACCGAGGUUUGAAAUUAUUGAAAGUUUAGUUGAUGUUGCUUAAGAGCUCAUUGUAAGAAGGCCCAAGAGUAAGCCAUGUGAAGUUGAUGGCGAUGCUUAAAAGCAAUCGACUUACAAGGGUAUGAAAAUGGGCUCGACAUUGAAUCGAGAAAAAAUGUGAUUUUAAUAAUUUUAAAAUGGUUUUGAAUGAAUGAUGCAAUUAAAAGAAAACAAAUCUAUGUUAUUAAACAAAUAAUUAAAAAACUUAUGAGUAAUAAAGCCAUAAAAAAAAUUGUUAAAGAAAAAAAAACUACACAUAGGAGUAUCGAACCCACUACACUAAAGACCUAGAAACCACUCCUCUCCACCAGGCCACUUAUAAUUAGUUAUCAUUUACAAUGUCAAAUGGGCUUUAUAAAUCAAGAAAAGAUUGGAACAAAAAAUUUAAAGAAAAUAAAACCAAAAUAAUAAUAAUAAUAAGAAAGACUGUUGGAUUACCCCAAAAACAAUCCAGCCGCCUGGCUGUUGGAUUUUAGAGGCUAGGAAUUGAGAAUAUUAAAAAACAUUUAACUAAAAUCUAAACCAAUAAGUCAUAGUUAAUGACCAUUGAGAAACUCUAAACGUUCAAUUAGUGGAGAUUAAAUGGUUUUUAAACACACUUAAAGUAAAUAAUAAAAAAAGAAAAUGAAUGAAUUGGCGUUCACGAAGGGACAGACUCUCCCUCUCUCAAUCUCUCAGUCCCGUUCCCAAUCUCACAAUGCUCUCUCAAUCUCUCCAUCAUUCGCUCGUCCUCAACCUUCCUCAAUCACUCCGUCUCACAAAUCACUCUCAACCUUACUCACAAAAUCGUUCUCUCCAACUCACGUCUCUCACAUCAUAACCCUCUCUCAAACGUGCGUUUUUCUUAAUCGCUUCCGAAUCAUAAAAGAAAUCAAUGGCUGAAGCAAAAAAAGCGCUCACCUCCGGCGGUAAAGACGGCAAUGAUGAAGCUUCAAACUCUUUCAACUCUUCAAACCAGGUUUAUCUUUGAUUCUCCGGUUUAGGGUUUUUUCUGUUUGGUAUCUUUUAAUGCCGCCUCCGAU
rnacentral:lncRNA from 1 species